CUGUUACUCUGUAGAGACUGACUGCAUGGCAGUGACUGUUACUCUGUAGAGACUGACUGCAUGGCAGUGACUGUUACUCUGUAGAGACUGACUGCAUGGCAGUGACUGUUACUCUGUAGAGACUGACUGCAUGGCAGUGACUGUUACUCUGUAGAGACUGACUGCAUAGUAGUGACUGUUACUCUGUAGAGACUGACUGCAUGGCAGUGACUGUUACUCUGUAGAGACUGACUGCAUGGCAGUGACUGUUACUCUGUAGAGACUGACUGCAUGGCAGUGACUGUUACUCUGUAGAGACUGACUGCAUGGCAGUGACUGUUACUCUGUAGAGACUGACUUAGUGACUGUUACUCUGUAGAGACUGACUGCAUGGCAGUGACUGUUACUCUGUAGAGGCUGACUGCAUGGCAGUGACUGCUACUCUGUAGAGACUGACUGCAUGGCAGUGACUGUGCCUAAUGGUGAGGCUCCACAGGGUGCUCCUUAUAAAGCUUUAAACAUGUACCUUUCAGAUGUGUUACUACAACAUUGUCCAGCUCCAGUUUGGCUCACUGUGAAAGGUAACUAACUAAAUGAACAAGGUCAACUGGAAACAUGCAUUCACUUUUUCUCCAGUGUGAUGCACAAAGGUCUUGUAGAAAGGCUCGGGCAGUGGGUUUGAGGUGUGUGUGCCCGUGUGUGAUAACAACUGAACUUAUGAAAGGUUGAACAUGUAUUAAGGGCUUCCUGUAUUGCAAACACGUGAAACACCUACAAAGCGCCUUAUUUCAUCGACUUUGUAUUUUCUUUUGAAUCUUAAACGUUGUGGCUUAUUACUUUCACCAACUACUUGAGUAUUUAACUGUUCUGAAAUAAAACAUGUUGCAUCAUGGGGAAUAUAUGACAUUGACCUCAACAUAUUCAACUGGAAUAGUUGUUAGAUGUUUUGUUGGAAUAACAGCUAAUAGUGUGGAGUUUGUAGUUAACAGACAGGUCAAGCAUAAGGAAGACUGGUUUGUCUAACUGUACAGGCAGACAUAAAGACAGGUUAGUGAGUUCAGGAUGAGUCUGUGUGGGUUUCUGGGAGAGGUGGAGGACAAUGCCUGCACAUUAAUACAAGUAGAAAUGUAUCAUUUUAAAUAUAUAACUAUAAAUAUUGUACAGAAUGUCAUUCAUUUUUAUAAUCUUGACUGUACAUGUAAUGCAACCACCUCUUUUUGAAAGGAGUCUGAUGUUUUGUACAUGUAUGUAAAUGAUGUUUUUAGUAGCACUUGUUUGCAGCCUUCUCAGUGUGUUCGUCAAGGUUCAUUUCCGCUCUUCGAUACGUGUCCACGGUGUAUUAUAUGUAAUGGCUUGAUGAAUUCACAAUUGCCUGCAUAACUUUGUACAUGUUUGUGUGUCUCAUCACAGCAUAUUGUUUGUUCUGCGUUUGGUUCAGCAGUUGUUCAGAUGUUACACAUCACUGCAGCUACAUUACAGCAGGAGAAUAAAGCACUUGUUCUGUAACAUUA